rnacentral:rRNA from 1 species
AACGAACGCUGGCGGCAUGCCUAACACAUGCAAGUCGAACGAGACCUUCGGGUCUAGUGGCGCACGGGUGCGUAACGCGUGGGAACCUGCCCUUAGGUUCGGAAUAACUCCCCGAAAGGGGUGCUAAUACCGGAUAAUGUCUUCGGACCAAAGAUUUAUCGCCUUUGGAUGGGCCCGCGUUGGAUUAGCUAGUUGGUAGGGUAAAAGCCUACCAAGGCGACGAUCCAUAGCUGGUCUGAGAGGAUGAUCAGCCACACUGGGACUGAGACACGGCCCAGACUCCUACGGGAGGCAGCAGUGGGGAAUAUUGGACAAUGGGCGAAAGCCGGAUCCAGCAAUGCCGCGGGAGUGAUGAAGGCCUUAGGGUUGUAAAGCUCUUUUACCCGGGAUGAUAAGGACAGUACCGGGAGAAUAAGCUCCGGCUAACUCCGG